AUCAUAACCGUUCAGGUAACCGCUGCAUCGCAUGCGAUGUAGAGGAAAGUCCAUGCUCGCACAGGCUGAGAUGCUUGUAGUGUUCGUGCCUAGCGAAGUCAUAAGCUAGGGUAGUCUGGUUCUUAGAACUGGGCUAACGGCAAGGUAAGCACCUACGUUCAUCAUGAAUAUGGUGUGAUGCCUUUGAAAGUGCCACAGUGACGUAGUCCGUUUGGAAACAGACGGAGUGGAACGAGGUAAACCCCUCGAGCGAGAAACCCAAAAAUUGGUAGGGGAACCUUCUUGAAGGAAAUGAACGGAGAGAAGGACGGAAGUUUUACUUCUGUAGACAGAUGGUUACCACCGGAGUACGAGGUUCAUCACCGUUUGUAGUACGAAGGAACAGAACAUGGCUUAUCGAACGGGAAUGAGA
rnacentral:RNase_P_RNA from 2 species